CAGCGGCAGCCUUCUACCUCGACAUCCACGUCUAAACAGAAGAACCAAGCCAACAACAACAUGUACGCAGUUUGACUUAACAGACGACGAGAACGUGUGGCCCCUUGUUUCAUCGUUGCCAUCAGCGUUCUAUCGAGUGACCAUGGAUCAAAUUGUCGUCCAGAGGUGCCUGGCGUCGAGAACACUUGCUAGUGCACAAAGGACUGUGCUCACAGGGUCCGUCCUGCUUGUAGCGGCAUAUACCGUCGAACUCCUGAUGGCAUUGUCCUUGGUACUCUGGUUUCGAGGUUGCGACUCCCAGCUGUCAGGAGCUAUCAAGAAUACUGAUCAGGCAAGGACGCAGUAUCGUCAUAUG